UACGAAGGGGGCUAGCGUUGUUCGGAUUUACUGGGCGUAAAGCGCACGUAGGCGGAUCGUUAAGUCAGGGGUGAAAUCCUGGAGCUCAACUCCAGAACUGCCUCUGAUACUGGCAAUCUAGAGUCCGGAAGAGGUGAGUGGAACUCCUAGUGUAGAGGUGGAAUUCGUAGAUAUUAGGAAGAACACCAGUGGCGAAGGCGGCUCACUGGUCCGGUACUGACGCUGAGGUGCGAAAGCGUGGGGAGCAAACAGG
rnacentral:rRNA from 1 species